UACGGAGGGUGCAAGCGUUAAUCGGAAUUACUGGGCGUAAAGCGCGCGUAGGCGGCUGGAUAAGUCGAUUGUGAAAGCCCCGGGCUCAACCUGGGAAUUGCAGUCGAGACUGUUCGGCUAGAGUGUGGGAGAGGGCAGUGGAAUUCCCGGUGUAGCGGUGAAAUGCGUAGAUAUUGGGAGGAACAUCGGUGGCGAAGGCGGCUACCUGGACGGGUACUGACGCUGAUGCGCGAAAGCUAGGGGAGCAAACAGG
rnacentral:rRNA from 1 species